rnacentral:rRNA from 1 species
CAGUCGCCACGGGAAUACGAAAGGGGCUAGCGUUGCUCGGAAUUACUGGGCGUAAAGGGAGCGUAGGCGGACAUUUAAGUCAGGGGUGAAAUCCCAGAGCUCAACUCUGGAACUGCCUUUGAUACUGGGUGUCUUGAGUGUGAUAGAGGUAUGUGGAACUCCGAGUGUAGAGGUGAAAUUCGUAGAUAUUCGGAAGAACACCAGUGGCGAAGGCGACAUACUGGAUCAUUACUGACGCUGAGGCUCGAAAGCGUGGGGAGCAAACAGGAUUAGAUACCCCAGUAGUCCCUGUCUCUUAUAC